rnacentral:rRNA from 1 species
GUCUAGAGCUAUGCCACCCUGAACAUGGCCAAUCUCGUCUAAUCUCGGAAGCUAAUCAGGGUUGGGCCUGGUUAGCAUUUGGAUGGGAGACCACCUAGGAAUACCAGGUGCUGUAGAUG